rnacentral:lncRNA from 1 species
AUGCUUUCAUGAAAUGCGUCAUAACACAAACAUUCCACAACAAGGAUGAACUUGUCACCAUUUAGCCCCUAUACUACUUGCUUACUUAUGUCGGGGGCGUAGAGCAACAGCAGGCACACCCGGACUUCCAUGGGCUGUCAUAGUGCCAGGGGCGUAGAGCAACAGCAGGCACACCUAGACUUACAUGGGAUAUCAUGACAUAUGGGGGCUAAUGGAUCACUCAACAUUCAUCCACAACAACAACGUAGUAUGCAAUGCAACAUAUUCGUGAAUUCUAAUGCAAACAACCUAAUAUAUCUCAUGGCAUUCAUGAUGUGUGAGUCAUGCUAAAACUUUCAUUAAUUUGCCUUAAAACUUAAAGAGUUAUUCCACUCACCUAUGGCUAGCUCUGAAAAGACUCUGAAGCAGCUAACUCACUGCUGGGGGUCUCGGUUCCUCGGGUCCGAACCUACACAGGUGGACUCAAAUGAGGGACCAACAUACAUGAACAUGACUCUAAAAUACUCCCCAAAAACCCCCCUAAAACACCUCAAAAGGAUCAUAGAAAACAUGCAAGAAAUGGCUGAAUAGGGCACUUUCGACGGCAGGUUCGGCGGCCGAAAGUCCCUCCAGAGCCGAAAGUCAGGCAGGUUCGGCAGCACCUUCGGCGGCCGAAACUCCCAGACAGAGACGAAACUCAUGCAUGUUCGGCGGCACUUUCGGUGGCUGAAACUGCCCUCCAGAGAUGAAAGUCCUCUUUCGAGGGCAGGCUUCGGCAGCCGAAACUGCCUCCACAAGGGGUUCGGCGGCCGAAAGUCCCUUCGGCGGCCGAACCUGGUUUCUGCCAAAGGGCAGAAACUCGGCUCCAACAUGCAUUUCCAAACCUCAACUCAAUCAAACAUGCAUAAACCUAUUCUACAACACUCCCAAGCAAGCAUACAAGCAAAUAGGGGUCUCAAACUAUCUUAAACCCCAGCCACAUUGCAUUAAACACAUACAAAUCAAUAUACAUUGCUCAAACAUUCAAAAUGACCAAAAACUCAACAUGCCUCCUACAUGCAUUUCUACCCAUAAACUUGCAUAAAACUUACUUUAACAUAAAUGAGCUAAAGAUCAACUCCUACCUCUUGAAGAUCGAGAGAGAGACGACCAAAACUUGGAGAUUGGAGAGAUCUAACUCUUGAGUCUCCAAAGCUUGCUCAAAGCUCACAACACUUCAAAAACAAGUUGAAACUCGUUAAAACUUGAAAGAUCUGAGGAAGAAUCAUCAGAAAUAAGCCAUGGAAGAGUAGGAACUCACCGUGGCCGAAAAUGGGGAGAAAACUCGCCCGUUUCGGCCAUGGCAUCCAUUUAUAGGGGCUGGCCAAACCACCUUCGGAGGCCGAACGUGCCUCCAAAACUCAUGCAAGUUCGGCGGCCAAACAUGGAGUUUCGGCGGCCGAACCUGAGCCAACUUUCGGAAGCCUAACUAGCCUCCCAAACUAUCCAACGUUCGGCGGCCGAACUUGGGGAUUCGACGGCCGAACCUGGGAAUAGUUCCAUGGUGUUUUUCCUUCAAAACUCAAUUUAAAUCUUACUUAAAACCAUGAAAUACAUUAAAACAUUUUAGAAAAACAUGAUUUUACCCUUCUAGGGGCCUCCGACAUCCGAGAUCCCACCGGACGGUAGGAAUUCCGAUACCGGAGUCUAGCCGGGUAUUACAUUCUCCCCCCCUUAAGAACAUUCGUCCCCGAAUGUUCCUCAACUAACACACAUAGCAUGACAUCCAUCAACAUACACAUAAGCAUACAACAUACAUACAUACUAAGCACAUAAGACAAACUAACACUCACCUCAGAACAGAUGGGGAUAUUGCUGGAGCAUGGACUCCCGUGUCUCCCAAGUGUAUUCUUCGAUAUUGUGGUGGUUCCAAAGGACUUUCACCAUCGGGAUUUCCUUGUUCCUCAGCUUUCUGAUCUGAGUGUCUAGGAUCCGUACUGGCUGCUCUACAUAUGUGAGAUCCUCUAGGAUCUCCACAUCAGGCUCACUAAGAACCUUUCUCGGAUCUGACACGAAUCUCCGUAACAUGGAAACAUGGAAAACUGGAUGGAUUCUCUCCAUUGAAGCAGGCAAGUCUAGCUUUUACGACACAUUCCCGACCUUCUGAAGGACUUCAAAAGGACCAAUGUACCGUGGAGCUAACUUACCCUUCUUCCCGAACCGAACCACUCCUUUCAUAGGAGACACCUUGAGCAAAACCAAAUCCCCCUCCUGAAACUCUAGCUGUCUUCUGCAGAUAUCUGCAUAACUCUUCUGCCGGCUAGUAGCAGUCUUAAUCCUUUCUCUGAUUAUGGGCACUACCCUGCUGGUAAGCUCUACUAACUCCGGACCUGCAAGAGUCCUCUCUCUUACUUCUUCCCAGCAGAUAGGAGAUCUGCACUUCCUCCCAUACAAAGCCUCAUAUGGAGCCAUCCCUAUGCUAGCAUGAUAGCUGUUAUUGUAGGCAAACUCUACCAAGGGUAGAUGCUGCCUCCAAGAACCGCCAAAAUCUAGCACACACAUUCUGAGCAUGUCCUCUAUUGUUUGGAUGGUCCUCUCUGACUGUCCAUCAGUCUGUGGGUGGAAAGCAGUACUGAAAUCCAAUCUGGUACCCAUAGCACUCUGCAGACUCCGCCAAAACCUAGAGGUGAACUGGGGCCCUCUAUCAGACACUAUUGAAACAGGAACCCCAUGCAACUUGACAAUCUCGUCCACAUACACAUGCGCCAGCUUAUCCACAGAAUAGCCACUCCUGACAGGGAUGAAGUGAGCAUAUUUGGUGAGUCUGUCCACAAUCACCCAUAUGGAGUCCAAUCUGUUGGACGUCGCCGGUAAUCCCACUACAAAGUCCAUAGCGAUAUUCUCCCAUUUCCACUCUGGAAUCGGUAGUGGAUUCAACAUUCCAGCCGGCUUCUGAUGCUCUAGCUUCACCCUCUGACACACAUCGUAGGCUGACACGAACAGUGCCACAUCCUUCUUCAUAGCUGGCCACCAAUACACUCUCUUCAGAUCCUGAUACAUCUUGGUGGCUCCAGGGUGAAUGCUAUACCUGGCAUUAUGGGCUUCCCCCAUAAUAUCUCCUUUCAGACUGAUGUCAUUUGGCACACAUAGUCUGUUCCCGUAGCGGAGGAUCCCCUUAUCAUCGAAUCUGAACUCAUCACUCUUGCCUGGCUGAACAGUCCUGGCAAUCUUGACCAACUCUGGGUCCUCAUGCUGUUUCUGAGCCACCUGCUCCAGAAACACGGGUGACACUCUCAUCUGGGCUACUAAGGCACCUGUGCCAGAUAACUCCAACUGCAAUCCCUCACUCAUAAGUCUAUGGAAUUCCUUCACCACCGGCCUUCUCUCUGCUGAAAUGUGGGAUAGACUGCCAAGUGAUUUUCGGCUUAAGGCGUCUGCCACUACAUUCGCCUUACCCGGAUGGUACUGAAUCUUGCAAUCAUAGUCACUCAACAGCUCUACCCAUCUCCUCUGCCUCAAAUUCAGCUCUCUCUGACUCAGGAUGUACUGCAGGCUCUUAUGAUCUAUGAAGAUCUCGCACUUUACCUCAUAAAGGUAAUGCCUCCACAUCUUGAGUGCAAAGACGACCGCUGCCAUCUCUAGGUCAUGUGUGGGGUAAUUCAACUCAUGCUUCUUCAGCUGCCUAGAAGCAUAACCGAUCACCCUCUCAUUCUGCAUCAGCACACAACCCAGUCCCACACGGGACGUAUCACAAUAUACUGAGAAGUCAUCAUCACUGUUUGGCAGAGCCAACACCGGUGCUGAAGUCAACCUCCUCUUAAGCUCCUCAAAGCUCUCUUCACACUGGUCAGUCCAUACAAACUUCUAGUUCUUCUUAGUCAAUUUGGUCAUAGGAGCAGCAAUCUUUGAGAAGUCCUGAACGAACCUCCUGUAGUAACCUGCCAAACCCAGAAAACUCUUGAUCUCUGUCACAGUGGUGGGUCUAGGCCAGUUAGCUACAACCUCUACUUUCUUGGGGUCUACCUCAAUACCUUGUUCUGACACCACGUGCCCCAAGAAUGAAAUGCUCCUAAGCCAAAACUCACACUUGGAGAACUUGGCAUACAAGCCAUGCUCCCUUAAGGUCUCCAAAACUGUCCUCAGGUGAUGGGCAUGCUCCUCUGCAUUCCUGGAAUACACUAGGAUAUCAUCUAUAAAGACAAUAACGAAGUGAUCCAGAUACUGGCUGAAAACUCUGUUCAUGAGGUCCAUGAAUGCUGCAGGGGCGUUGGUUAACCCGAACGGCAUCACAACGAACUCAUAGUGCCCAUACCUGGUCCUGAAAGCUGUCUUCGGUACAUCCUCAUCCCUAAUCCUCAACUGAUGGUACCCCGAUCUCAGAUCUAUUUUGGAGAAACAACAGGCUCCAGCUAGCUGGUCGAAUAGAUCGUCGAUCCUAGGCAACGGGUACUUGUUAUUGGUAGUGACCUUGUUCAACUGCCUGUAGUCGAUACAAAGUCUGAGGGAUCCAUCCUUCUUCCUCACAAAAAGCACUGGAGCACCCCAAGGUGAGGUACUCGGUCGGAUGAAACCCUUGUCUACCAACUCUUGCAACUGUUCUUUCAACUCUUUCAAUUCAGCUGGUGCCAUCUUGUAGGGAGGGAUAGAGAUCGAUCGGGUUCCAAGCAUCAAUUCUAUCUCGAACUCUAUCUCCCUAGCAGGUGGUAAACCUGGCAGCUCGUCUGGGAAAACAUCUAAAAACUCUCCAACCACAGGCACUGAGACGGGCUUUCUGACAUGACUGUCAAGCUCUCUCACAUGAGCUAAAAAUCCCUGACAUCCCCUCCUAAGCAACCUACGAGCCUGAAGGGCUGAGAUCAAACCUCUAGGUGUACCCCUGUCUCCUCUGAAGACGACCUCUGACCCAUCCUGACCUCUGAAUCUGACUACCUUGUCCCUGUAGUCCAAGGUAGCACCAUGGGUAGAUAACCUGUCCAUCCCUAGAAUGACGUCAAAAUCUGUCAAAUCUAGAACCACUAGGUCGGCGGAAAGGCAUCUUCCCUCUAUAAAAACUGGACUACACUGGCAGACGGUCUCUGCCACUGACCGGUCACACUUGGGUCCACUGACCCAUAGGGGACACUCUAACCCAGAGACCAUCAAUCCUACCCUCUCCACGGCUCUCGGAGCAAUAAAUGAAUGAGAUGCACCAGGAUCCAUCAAGGCAUAAACAUCUGAACAACCAAUGAUGAGAUUACCUGACACCACGGUGUUGGAUGUGUUAGCCUCCUACUGAGUCAUAGUGAAGAUCUGUGUCGGAGUUGAUGGACCUUCACCUCUGUAUCCUGCUGAUGAAGAGGUUGACCCUCUCCCUCUGCCUCUGCCACUGGCCUGUGUCGCGGCUGGAGCUAUUGGCUGCGCCACACUACUAGAAGCUGUCUGCUGGGACGGUGCCACAAAAGCUGCUCUAGGGCAAUCCCGAGCCAAAUGCCCUGCCUGACCGCAUCUGAAACAUGUGUUUAUCCCCGCCAGACAUACUCCCCUAUGUGGCCUCCCACAUUUCAUACAUGCUGGAACAUCUGUACCUGAGCUCGAGCCACUUCCUAAUCCCAGACCUGACUUGAUCUUGUUCCAGAACUUGUUCUUGUUGGACUUCCUGUGGCCUCUAUCCCACUUCUUACUGCUAGAAGCUGCUGAACCCACAGAAGAGGGAUCUAUCUUUCCCCCACCUGGAGUCUUGGAACCAGAAGGCUGUGCCACUGACUGUCUGACCUUUCCCUCAAUAAUUGCACUAGCCUCCAUUCUUCGAGCCAUAUCCACUAUGGUGUGGAAACUCUCCCUCUCUGCUGACUGUAUCAAAGAGGAAUACGUGGAGUGAAGCCUCAUGAUGUACCUUCUAGAUUCUUCUGCUCUGUGUCCAAGUUCUGCCCCAGAGUAUGGCAAUAACUCCAGGAAUCUGUCAGUGUACUCAUCCACAGUCAUCUCAUCAGUCUGCCUCAACUGCUCAAAUUCUAUCAUCUUCUGUUCUCUGGAGCUUUCAGGGAAAGCCCAACUUGCAAACUCAUUUGCAAAUUCCUCCCAGGACAUACUGUCCACCCUCGGGUUCACAUAGUUCUUGUACCAGUCACGGGCCUUCUUGCACUUUAAUGUAAACCCAGCCAUCUGAAUGGCUCUGCUGUCAUCAGCCCCUAUCUCAUCUAUGAUCAUCUUGACCCUCCCAAGAUACUCAAAAGGGUCAUCUCCCGUGUCAUACUGAGGAGCACCCAACUUCAUAUAAUUAGUCAUCUUGGCCUUGCCCCCUCCAGAUGAGGUAGGUUUGGGUACUUGAGUUUCUGGGACAGUAGGUUCUGGUGGUGGUGGAGGAGGUGCAACAUCCCCCGGGGUAGGGUUUGCUAUACCUGGAUAGUAUGGUGGAGGUGGGUACAUAGGGUACUGAGAGUAUGGUGGGUAGUAAGGUGGGUAUGGCAUGUGUGAAGGGUAAGGGCUAAAGCUGGGGUAAUUCGAUGUACCUCCCAUCGAAUACCCUGGAUGGUGUGAAUAAGGUGGGUAAUGGGGGGGCUGAACAAACCCCGAGGCCUGAGUGCCUCCUUCUGACUCUCCCAUGCCCUCUUCUAGCAUGCUCACACCAAGACUGCCAUCCCUCCUCUGCUCCACAUCCAUAUCCUCAGACAUGCCUCCCUGAACUGUUCCCCUCACUGAUCUGCUUCUACCCAGAUCCAAAGACCUUCUAGGGUCUCUCACUGCUCUGUCCCUGCUGGACCUACUAGACAUUGCCCUAGGCAAUGCUGGAGGACGGGCAUCAGUGCCUUCGUCCUGAGGUGGCACUCCAGUCAAUCGUGCAGAUCGAUGAGUUCCUCUCAUCCUUAACUUCUGAAAAAGCAACACACAACACAUAAAAUCAUUAGCAUCAUGCGGUUCAUGUGGGGACACAUGAACCUGCAUCACAUACAUAGCAUACAUAUCAUAACAUUUAUGCACAUGCAUAUCAUCAUGGCAUAUCACAUCAUCAUAUAGACAGGACUCUAUAUCCUAUCCUAGUGGACAUGAUUUUCCUACUGUGCUUGACCUUCUAGAACAAUCUAUGAGCCUGACACUCUAGGUUCGACCAUAUGAACCUAGGGCUCUGAUACCACUCUGUAACGAUCCGAAAAUCUGACCCGUUACCGGCGCUAGGAUCCAGAUCGGUAUAAGGACGCCGGGACCCAUAGCAAGCCUACAUACAUCCUGAAUACCUGUGGAAUCCCAUACAUGAUUACGACAUAACAUAACCUGUAAGAUUUUUCUUUUCUUUUAUCCAAGCAUAACCUGUGCAUGCACAAAACCAUAACAUAGACCACACACUGGAGUCCUCAUCAAAUACUCCAAUGGGGUAUCAUAACAUAUAGUCAAGCUUGGAUAACCAUUAACAUUAAUAACUCAUAAAUAAAUCAUGCAUAAAAGGGAUUCUCAACAUACUAGGGUCAAGCACAUCUCUAAAACCUCAAUACAUCCAUAGUUCAUACUUUACAUUAUAUAACUAUUCAUAAGAUUCAUUACAUCAUUCUCAUGUCCACUACUAUCUAUUACAACAUAAUAGACUUCAUUCUAGCCGACCUCCUGAUCUAACCUGUACCUGCAAACCUAGGGAUUAAGGGAGUGGGGUGAGCUACUAGAGCCCAGUGAGCAGAAUAAUAUAAACAUAAUUUAAAAUCCAUGCUUUCAUGAAAUGCGUCAUAACACAAACAUUCCACAACAAGGAUGAACUUGUCACCAUUUAGCCCCUAUACUACUUGCUUACUUAUGCCGGAGGCGUAGAGCAACAGCAGGCACACCCGGACUUCCAUGGGCUGUCAUAGUGCCAGGGGCAUAGAGCAACAGCAGGCACACCUGGACUUACAUGGGAUAUCAUGACAUACGGGGGCUAAUGGAUCACUCAACAUUCAUCCACAACAACAACGUAGUAUGCAAUGCAACAUAUUCGUGAAUUCUAAUGCAAACA